ACCAGUGUGGCGUAGUUGUUUGAGUGUUGGAUUAUGACUCUGGAGGCUUGGGUUCGAUUCCCUGCUCAGCCA